rnacentral:rRNA from 1 species
GGCUGUAGUCGGUCCCAAGGGUUGGGCUGUUCGCCCAUUAAAGCGGUACGCGAGCUGGGUUCAGAACGUCGUGAGACAGUUCGGUCCCUAUCCGUCGUGGGCGUAGGAAAUUUGAGAGGAGCUGUCCUUAGUACGAGAGGACCGGGAUGGACAUACCUCUGGUGUACCAGUUGUCGUGCCAACGGCAUAGCUGGGUAGCUAUGUAUGGACGGGAUAAGUGCUGAAAGCAUCUAAGCAUGAAGCCCCCCUCAAGAUGAGAUUUCCCAACUUCGGUUAUAAGAUCCCUCGAAGAUGACGAGGUUAAUAGGUUCGAGGUGGAAGCGUGGUGACACGUGGAGCUGACGAAUACUAAUCGAUCGAAGACUUAAUCAAUUUUUAAA